rnacentral:rRNA from 1 species
UACGAAGGGGGCUAGCGUUGCUCGGAAUUACUGGGCGUAAAGGGCGCGUAGGCGGACAGUUUAGUCAGAGGUGAAAGCCCAGGGCUCAACCUUGGAAUUGCCUUUGAUACUGGCUGUCUUGAGUUCGGGAGAGGUGAGUGGAAUGCCGAGUGUAGAGGUGAAAUUCGUAGAUAUUCGGCGGAACACCAGUGGCGAAGGCGGCUUCCUGGCCUGUUCUUGACGCUGAGGCGCGAAAGCUAGGGUAGCAAACGGG